GGAAGCGCAGCAGGAAGAGAGAAAAAAACUUUUGCAUUAAAUGUCAUAUUGACAUAUCAAUAUAUUGGAUUUUCCACGCUGCUCGCAAUCGGUCCGUUUGGUGCAAUUCCAUCGGUUCAGUGCUGCAAUUUGGUCGUAAUUCAAUAUUUUAUUUUCCGCGGCGGAUAUCCUUUUUAUUGGAUUGUAAAUUUGCGUGAGUAAAUUCCGUGACACUCUGGUCUGAUGUCAAACCAUUGUGACCGAUCCGGAGGAGCGUAAAUUAAGCCAAACCAGCCAAAAAAAAAAAAAAGAAGAAAAAACAAUCGGAGCUGCCGUUUUUUGCGGUUUCGAUUUUUCCACCAAAACGCGAAAGCGAAAACAAUAAAUAGGGAAAUUAAGAUAAUUCCGUUGUUGGCACUCCAUAAAACGCAGACGGAAAAACAUGAUGGACCAUAGGAUAAUCUCCAAGUACACCGAUGUGCGAGUGAAAAUCUCCGGCUGGGAUGAGCGUGUCCAACAAUUCCCAAAAGAUUGUCCCUGCUGUUCGGUUGGGAGGGCAACCUAUCGUACGUUCGGUUACACGACGAAGCACUUCAUCCCGAGAACGACUACCCAAUCGAUGUACGACAACGUUUGGAGCGAACUUUGUCCCAACGCUCGGAUGAUCCGCCGAGGAGAUCCCCUCGAGUUCGUGGCUUACCGGUCCACUUAUCAAACCGAUUUCACAAACCCUUUGGAUCUGGUAUGUUAAUCUGGUGAAACGAGAAUGCCGCCACCUUCGAAAUUAAAGAUUAUUGUGAUUAAUGAGCCUGCCGGCUCCAAGCGUCGGCAAAUUAUGUGAGCGGUACGUACGUAGUAGCUCCGGAGAUCAUAAUCAGCUCAAAAGCCUACUUGCUGGUCGUCCACUGUGUCGGGUGUCGGCUAUAGAGGAGCUCGAGCGAGAGCAGCGCCAAAAACGGAACGCCGGGCAAUUUGUGAUUGUAAGCUUGUGGUCACCCGAAACCAGUGAGCAUCGCGACUAAAUCUAGAGAUGAUGAUUAUUUACGAUGGCAGGACCAAACUGGUGGCUAACGCAACACCGCUCCCGGCGGAGACUGUGGCGAAGAAUUUAUUGCUGGACUUUACGACCUAAACGCUCCGUGUCAGGUUCCUAAAUUUCUAAAUAAUACCAAAUUGAAUAUACUGAUCUCGGCGGUGAAUUAAUGAGUUUUUCUUGUCUUUCGCGAGAUUAGCAGGGAUGAACGAAAUUGAAACCGCCCGAAAGGCGCUGGUGGAAUAAUUUUCAAUGGUGAAUGGACAAUUGAAUGGAAUUGAAAAUUUUACUAUUAGCAGAAAUGCAAUUCAGGAACACAAAACCGGUUGAUUCCCACACACAAUAAAAAAUCUACUAUAUUCCAUUAGAGUGCAGAAUUUAUUGCUUUCAGUGAACAACGACAUACUCAUUCAUUUGGAGUAUCAUCUAGUAGAAAAAUAACCGAACAUAUUGAGUUAUGGGUUUCGUAUGACACAUUCCAACCCACAUUUGGUUUCUUGCCAAUAUUUUCGCACGUCUCCAUUCGAAGCUGUCAUCUGUACGCGAGAGGUUUCCAUCGAAGAACAUACUGUUUUUCGUUCAUCACGGAAGCACAACUUUCUUUCAAUAUUAUGAGAGUCCAAUCAUCUUUU